rnacentral:tRNA from 1 species
GGAGGGAUACUCAAGCUGGUGAAGAGGACGGUUUGCUAAACCGUUAGUAGGUGCAAAACACCUAGCGUGGGUUCGAAUCCCACUCCCUCCGCCA